rnacentral:lncRNA from 1 species
AUUCCCGAGGGCUUUUUCUACUCGAUGUCCUUUUUAAUGCCUGCUUCUCAUAGCAUCUUUUUGCUGCUGGUAUUUUCCCUGCUCAUUCAGAUUCCAGCACUCUUACCUUCUGCAAGAAGUGCCUCAGCAAGCCUGUGUGAAUUACAGUCACUCUGCUCAAAAUGUUUGCAGCAAAGGCCAUCUUCGAGGUCAGGAAAUCCUAUUAUCAGGUCUUUCAAGAGUCAGCCUCAAACCCAGAACACACUCACACAAAUCCAGCUGAAGAUGAUUCUCGAGUGGCCAGAGUCCAGCAGGGCCUCAAUUCCUGCAGAAAUUGGGCCAAAGCUUUGGAGUCAGCACCCACCAGCCAGGCACCAACAGCCCCCAGGCAUGGGGAGCAGAGGAGAGUCACUGAAAGGCAAUGCGUUAAAAGAGGGGCUUGUUCUGCUCUCUCUUUGCCCCAUUUCUGUUCUGGGCAACCCAGCUAACCUGGCCCCUCUAAAUCUGUGCCCCUCUAAAUCUGAGCUUGGGACCAUCCAGAGCCUGUUUCUGCCCUUGUUCGUCCACCUGCCAGCCCUCCCCUGCUCCCCUCAUCACAGUUCUAGCCCACUGGAACCAUUUCUGGGUUUUGGCUGGAUUUAUCUUUCAAAGCUUUCAAGGAGAGUGAGAGGAAAACUGUCUUUGCAACUCUGGACACAUUGAAGGAGCUCAGGAAAUAUGAGCUGAAUUGGGUGAAGAAUGAAAGGAAGGAAGGAAAGAAGAGAGGGAGGGCGGAUUCUGCCCUCUGGAGUGCCCUGACGCCUUACAGACUCCAGAGGCAGAAAGGCUGAACACUCUUCAGGCAGGUGUCUGGCUGUGGAGGGCAGGUGGGAGGCGCAGAGCAGAAGGGAGGAGCUGGCCAACGCUCCAGUGAAAACAGGCCAGAGGCUGGGAGCUCACAGCUUCUACUGCCAGCCCUGGACGCUCCACGUCUGCCCCACUGACCUUCUUCCCAGGCCCUGGGAAUAUCAGAGGCCCCUUCUCUUUACUUUUGUCUUGUCUUUACUCCCGCUAUUUCUUCCAUGUAGG